GCCCGAGCCGUGUCACGCCGCCCCCAGCGCGACCGCCUCCCCCUCCCGAUCGCGUCACACUCAAGGUCCAAAGAUGGUGUGCGCACUUGUCUGUGGUCAUUUACCAUUAUAAUGAAUGGGAGGCGCAGUUUCUACCAAAACGCUCGCUGCAGACAAACUCCAUGUCCUUUUUGAAAAAAGUCUGGACCAUGAGUGAGGGCACAAACACAGCUAGUAUAUAUCCAAAUGGCAAGUUGCUCCUCCUUUCGGUUUUGCCGAGAGAGCGAUGCGUUUGAGCCAUUGAGCGAUGGGCAGGAAAAACUUGACUUUUUCUCCUGCCAUGGGGGGGCGCUCUUUUGGGGAGAAAAAAUUCCUUCACAAAUGUGUUGAUGGCUGGACAUUGCAUCAUCCUAGAAAACUUGGAGGCCAGUGAGGACAAAAAUAAAAAGUUAUAAGACUUUAAAAAUGUGGAUAUUUGGGUCCUCUUUGGCGCCCCCUAGAACGUAGACCAUAGGGUGCAGCGUCAUGAUUUUUACAACUUUGAAUGGCCAUGGGGUGUAGAUUGGCCUGAGCAAAUUUGGUGUCAGUGGGACGAAAGCCUUAGGAGGAGUUAGCCACAUUCCAAUGUGUGCGAAUCGGCAAAAAAUGCGAAAUAGCCCUUUAACCGUACAUUUGACAGAUACGCCUGCAUUGACUUUUUCGUAGAUCUUAUUGAGAUACACGUGAUUGUCAAAUUUUUUGUCAAUAUGACAAAGCGUACAGGCGUGACAUUCAACAAUGUGUAUUUUCACCUUAGGGGACAAGAAAAAAUUGACUUUUUUGUCCUGCCAUGGGGGGGCGCUCUUUUGGGGAGUAAAAAUUCCUUCACAAAUGUGUUGAUGGCUGGACAUUGCAUCAUCCUAGAAAACUUGGAGGCCAGUGAGGGCAAAAAUAAAAAGUUAUAAAACUUUUAAGAAUGUGGAUUUUAGGGUUAUUUUUGGCGCCCCCUAGAACCUAAACCAUGGGGUGCAGCAUCAUGAUUUGUACAACUUUGAAUGGCCAUGGAGUGUAGAUUGGCCUGAGCAAAUGUGGUGCCGGUGGACCGAAAGCCUUCGGAGGAGUUAGCGAAAUUCCAAUGUGUGCGGAUCUGCAAAAAAUGCGAAAUAACCCUUUAACCGUACAUUUGACAGAUACGCCCGCACUGACUUUUUUGUAGAUCUUAUUGAGAUACAUGUGUGUGUCAAUUUUUGUGUCAAUAUGACAAAGCGUACAGACGUGACAGUCAAUAGUGUGAAUUUUCACCUUAGGGGGCGCUAUGGAGCCAUUUUGUAUUUUAUUGUUUGGGCGACUUCAGAAUAUCGAAUUUUUCACCAGGCCCGGUCGUCCUGCCAAAUUUCCUGAGUUUUCGCCAGUGGGAAGUGGGCCAUUUUCCAG